UACAGAGGGUGCAAGCGUUAAUCGGAAUUACUGGGCGUAAAGCGUGCGUAGACGGUUAUUUAAGUCUGGUGUGAAAGGUUCAGGGCUCAACCCGAACAGUGCACUGGAUACUGGGAGACUUGAGUAUGGGAGAGGAGAGCGGAAUUCCUGGUGUAGCGGUGAAAUGCGUAGAUAUCAGGAGGAACACCGAUGGCGAAGGCAGCUCUCUGGCCUGUAACUGACGCUGAGGUGCGAAAGCGUGGGGAGCAAACAGG
rnacentral:rRNA from 1 species